AUGUAAUAAUGGAGGAAGGCACAGGAAGUGAUGCAAAAAUGUCUUUAAAAGGGAGUUACAGCUUCCUGGAGGAACUUCAACUCCUUCUGGAGUUCUGAGUUCAAGUUGGAGGCUGGUGAAGAAUCUGCUGACUGGACCUGAGACCCUGUACUUGGUGAGACUGUCCUUGAAUCACUCCCUUUGAACUGACAUGUGAGUACAUCGUUUGUAUUCCUUAGAAGAUGGUCUUGGGAACUUGUGGCAGAAAAGAAGAGCUGAUGUGGAAAAAGAAAGAAUGAAAAGACAAACAAAGUCAUCUCCUGGUCACACCAUCUGAUUGACUGGUUCCUUCUAGAACCUUCAAUUUAAGAAGGAUGCAUAGGAUUAAGAUGUCUCCACAGGACAUUCUCUAGCACCAAGAGAAUAUGCCGAACUUUGAGGAAUGUAUAUGGAAGAAGCCAAAUGAAUUAAAAUUUGACAGCUUUUCUCCAAGUCAUAAAUUCAUUUCCAUAUUCAACUUUGAAAAAAUGAAUUGCAAAUGAUCACAUUUUAACAAUCCAAGUAUAUUUCAUGCAUGGGGAAAUAAAAGAAGAAAGGGAGUUUGCAAGUCUACAAAAGAUCCCUGAUGAGGUGAGUAUUUCUAUUCAUCCUUCUUUUCCUUUAAGUAAACCAGUACAGAGACUUUAAACUCGGUGUU